rnacentral:rRNA from 1 species
AGUGAACGCUGGCGGUAGGCCUAACACAUGCAAGUCGAACGGCAGCACAGUAAGAGCUUGCUCUUACGGGUGGCGAGUGGCGGACGGGUGAGGAAUACAUCGGAAUCUACUUUUUCGUGGGGGAUAACGUAGGGAAACUUACGCUAAUACCGCAUACGACCUACGGGUGAAAGCAGGGGAUCUUCGGACCUUGCGCGAUUGAAUGAGCCGAUGUCGGAUUCGCUAGUUGGCGGGGUAAAGGCCCACCAAGGCGACGAUCCGUAGCUGGUCUGAGAGGAUGAUCAGCCACACUGGAACUGAGACACGGUCCAGACUCCUACGGGAGGCAGCAGUGGGGAAUAUUGGACAAAGGGCGCAAGCCUGAUCCAGCCAUACCGCGUGGGUGAAGAAGGCCUUCGGGUUGUAAAGCCCUUUUGUUGGGAAAGAAAAGCAGCAGGUUAAUACCCCGCUGUUCUGACGGUACCCAAAGAAUAAGCACCGGCUAACUUCGUG